rnacentral:rRNA from 1 species
CCUACGGGUGGCAGCAGUGAGGAAUAUUGGUCAAUGGACGAGAGUCUGAACCAGCCAAGUAGCGUGAAGGAUGACUGCCCUCUGGGUUGUAAACUUCUUUUAUAUGGGAAUAAAAUGUUCCACGUGUGGGAUUUUGUAUGUACCAUAUGAAUAAGGAUCGGCUAACUCCGUGCAAGCAGCCGCGGUAAUACGGAGGAUCCGAGCGUUAUCCGGAUUUAUGGGGGUUAAGGGGAGCGUAGGUGGUUUGUUAAGUCAGUUGUGAAAGUUUGGGGUUCAACCGUAAAAUUGACGUGGAAACUGGAAGUCUUGAGUACAGUAGAGGUGGCUGGAAUUCGUGGUGUAGCGGUGAAAUGCUUAGAUAUCACGAAGAACUCCGAUGGCGAAGGCAGGUCACUGGACUGCUACUGACACUGAGGCGCGAAAGUGUGGGUAGCAAACAGGAUUAGAUACCCUUGUAGUC